CAUAUCAAUAAGCGGAGGAAAAGAAACCAACAGGGAUUGCCUUAGUAGCGGCGAGUGAAGCGGCAAGAGCUCAAAUUUGAAAUCUGGUACUUUCAGUAUCCGAGUUGUAAUUUGAAGAAAGUUAUCUUGGAGUUGGCCCUUGUCUAUGUUCCUUGGAACAGGACGUCACAGAGGGUGAGAAUCCCGUGCGAUGGGGUGCCCAUUCUAUGUAAGAUACUUUUGACGAGUCGAGUUGUUUGGGAAUGCAGCUCUAAGUGGGUGGUAAAUUCCAUCUAAAGCUAAAUAUUGGCGAGAGACCGAUAGCGAACAAGUACAGUGAUGGAAAGAUGAAAAGAACUUUGAAAAGAGAGUGAAAAAGUACGUGAAAUUGUUGAAAGGGAAGGGUAUUUGAUCAGACUGAUAUUCAGUUAACACUGUUCCUUGUGGAUGGUGCUCUAGCUUUUUAUUGGGCCAGCAUCAGUUAAGGUGGCAGGAUAAGAACUGUUGAACGUGGCUCUUCGGAGUGUUAUAGCUUCAGUUGAUACUGCCUAUCUAGACUGAGGUCUGCGGCUUUGCCUAGGAUG
rnacentral:rRNA from 1 species